GAUGAACGCUGGCGGCGUGCCUAAUACAUGCAAGUCGAGCGAACGGACGAGAAGCUUGCUUCUCUGAUGUUAGCGGCGGACGGGUGAGUAACACGUGGAUAACCUACCUAUAAGACUGGGAUAACUUCGGGAAACCGGAGCUAAUACCGGAUAAUACUUUGAACCGCAGGGUUCAAAAGUGAAAGACGGUCUUGCUGUCACUUAUAGAUGGAUCCGCGCUGCAUUAGCUAGUUGGUAAGGUAACGGCUUACCAAGGCAACGAUGCAUAGCCGACCUGAGAGGGUGAUCGGCCACACUGGAACUGAGACACGGUCCAGACUCCUACGGGAGGCAGCAGUAGGGAAUCUUCCGCAAUGGGCGAAAGCCUGACGGAGCAACGCCGCGUGAGUGAUGAAGGUCUUCGGAUCGUAAAACUCUGUUAUUAGGGAAGAACAUAUGUGUAAGUAACUGUGCACAUCUUGACGGUACCUAAUCAGAAAGCCACGGCUAACUACGUG
rnacentral:rRNA from 1 species